AGUGGGGAAUCUUGCGCAAUGGGCGAAAGCCUGACGCAGCGACGCCGCGUGAGUGAUGAAGGCCUUCGGGUUGUAAAGCUCUGUGGGGAGAGACGAAUAGGUAGAAGCUAAUACCUUCUAUGAUGACGGUAUCUCCUUAGCAAGCACCGGCUAACUCUGUGCCAGCAGCCGCGGUAAGACAGAGGGUGCAAACGUUGUUCGGAAUUACUGGGCGUAAAGCGAGUGUAGGCGGUCCGCUAAGUCGGGUGUGAAAGCCCUGGGCUCAACCCAGGAAGUGCACUCGAAACUGGCGGGCUAGAGUAUCGGAGAGGUUGGUGGAAUUCUCGGUGUAGAGGUGAAAUUCGUAGAUAUCGAGAGGAACACCGGUGGCGAAGGCGGCCAACUGGACGAAUACUGACGCUGAGACUCGAAAGCGUGGGGAGCAAA
rnacentral:rRNA from 1 species